AUUGAACGCUGGCGGCAGGCUUAACACAUGCAAGUCGAGCGGAGAUGAGGUGCUUGCACCUUAUCUUAGCGGCGGACGGGUGAGUAAUGCUUAGGAAUCUGCCUAUUAGUGGGGGACAACAUUCCGAAAGGAAUGCUAAUACCGCAUACGUCCUACGGGAGAAAGCAGGGGAUCUUCGGACCUUGCGCUAAUAGAUGAGCCUAAGUCGGAUUAGCUAGUUGGUGGGGUAAAGGCCUACCAAGGCGACGAUCUGUAGCGGGUCUGAGAGGAUGAUCCGCCACACUGGGACUGAGACACGGCCCAGACUCCUACGGGAGGCAGCAGUGGGGAAUAUUGGACAAUGGGCGGAAGCCUGAUCCAGCCAUGCCGCGUGUGUGAAGAAGGCCUUUUGGUUGUAAAGCACUUUAAGCGAGGAGGAGGCUCUUUUGGUUAAUACCCAGAAUGAGUGGACGUUACUCGCAGAAUAAGCACCGGCUAACUCUGUGCCAGCCGCCGCCGUAACAC
rnacentral:rRNA from 1 species